rnacentral:piRNA from 1 species
UCCAAUCCGAUUACCUUGGGCCCACACUCU